GUGGGGAAUUUUGGACAAUGGGCGCAAGCCUGAUCCAGCAAUGCCGCGUGCAGGAAGAAGGCCUUCGGGUUGUAAACUGCUUUUGUACGGAACGAAACGGUCCGGGUUAAUACCCUGGGCUAAUGACGGUACCGUAAGAAUAAGCACCGGCUAACUACGUGCCAGCAGCCGCGGUAAUACGUAGGGUGCAAGCGUUAAUCGGAAUUACUGGGCGUAAAGCGUGCGCAGGCGGUUUUGUAAGACAGGCGUGAAAUCCCCGGGCUCAACCUGGGAAUUGCGCGUGUGACGGCAAGGCUGGAGUGCGGCAGAGGGGGAUGGAAUUCCGCGUGUAGCAGUGAAAUGCGUAGAUAUGCGGAGGAACACCGAUGGCGAAGGCAAUCCCCUGGGCCUGCACUGACGCUCAUGCACGAAAGCGUGGGGAGCAAACAGGAUUAGAAACCCCAGUAGUCC
rnacentral:rRNA from 1 species